AAAUGAAUUAGCCAUGCUAGUUGUGCGGGUUUAGACCCGCAGCGGAAAGCUCAGUAACACGUGGCCAAGCUACCCUGUGGACGGGAAUACUCUCGGGAAACUGAGGCUAAUCCCCGAUAACGCUUUGCUCCUGGAAGGGGCAAAGCCGGAAACGCUCCGGCGCCACAGGAUGCGGCUGCGGUCGAUUAGGUAGACGGUGGGGUAACGGCCCACCGUGCCCAUAAUCGGUACGGGUUGUGAGAGCAAGAGCCCGGAGACGGAAUCUGAGACAAGAUUCCGGGCCCUACGGGGCGCAGCAGGCGCGAAACCUUUACACUGUACGAAAGUGCGAUAAGGGGACUCCGAGUGUGAAGGCAUAGAGCCUUCACUUUUGUACACCGUAAGGUGGUGCACGAAUAAGGACUGGGCAAGACCGGUGCCAGCCGCCGCGGUAAUACCGGCAGUCCGAGUGAUGGCCGAUCUUAUUGGGCCUAAAGCGUCCGUAGCUGGCUGAACAAGUCCGUUGGGAAAUCUGUCCGCUUAACGGGCAGGCGUCCAGCGGAAACUGUUCAGCUUGGGACCGGAAGACCUGAGGGGUACGUCUGGGGUAGGAGUGAAAUCCUGUAAUCCUGGACGGACCGCCGGUGGCGAAAGCGCCUCAGGAGAACGGAUCCGACAGUGAGGGACGAAAGCUAGGGUCUCGAACCGGAUUAGAUACCCG
rnacentral:rRNA from 1 species